CGGGGCGUGGCGCAGUCUGGUAGCGCACUCGGCUGGGGGCCGAGCGGUCGCUGGUUCAAAUCCAGUCGCCCCGA
rnacentral:tRNA from 4 species